UGCAAGUCGAACGGUGAAGCAGGAGCUUGCUCUUGUGGAUCAGUGGCGAACGGGUGAGUAACACGUGAGCAACCUGCCCCUGACUCUGGGAUAAGCGCUGGAAACGGCGUCUAAUACUGGAUAUGUGACGUGAUCGCAUGGUCUGCGUCUGGAAAGAUUUUUCGGUUGGGGAUGGGCUCGCGGCCUAUCAGCUUGUUGGUGAGGUAAUGGCUCACCAAGGCGUCGACGGGUAGCCGGCCUGAGAGGGUGACCGGCCACACUGGGACUGAGACACGGCCCAGACUCCUACGGGAGGCAGCAGUGGGGAAUAUUGCACAAUGGGCGCAAGCCUGAUGCAGCAACGCCGCGUGAGGGAUGACGGCCUUCGGGUUGUAAACCUCUUUUAGCAGGGAAGAAGCGAAAGUGACGGUACCUGCAGAAAAAGCGCCGGCUAACUACGUGCCAGCAGCCGCGGUAAUACGUAGGGCGCAAGCGUUAUCCGGAAUUAUUGGGCGUAAAGAGCUCGUAGGCGGUUUGUCGCGUCUGCUGUGAAAUCCCGAGGCUCAACCUCGGGCCUGCAGUGGGUACGGGCAGACUAGAGUGCGGUAGGGGAGAUUGGAAUUCCUGGUGUAGCGGUGGAAUGCGCAGAUAUCAGGAGGAUCACCGAUGGCGAAGGCAGAUCUCU
rnacentral:rRNA from 1 species